rnacentral:rRNA from 1 species
CCUACGGGAGGCAGCAGUGGGGAAUAUUGGGCAAUGGAGGAAACUCUGACCCAGCGACGCCGCGUGAGGGAUGAAGGCCUUCGGGUUGUAAACCUCUUUCAGUAGGGAAGAAGCGAAAGUGACGGUACCUACAGAAGAAGCACCGGCUAACUAUGUGCCAGCAGCCGCGGUAAUACAUAGGGUGCAAGCGUUGUCCGGAAUUAUUGGGCGUAAAGAGCUCGUAGGUGGUUCGAUACGUCGGAUGUGAAAAUCAGGGGCUCAACCCCUGACCUGCAUCCGAUACGGUCGAGCUAGAGUUUGGUAGGGGAGACUGGAAUUCCUGGUGUAGCGGUGGAAUGCGCAGAUAUCAGGAGGAACACCGAUGGCGAAGGCAGGUCUCUGGGCCAAUACUGACACUGAGGAGCGAAAGCGUGGGGAGCGAACAGGAUUAGAUACCCUGGUAGUCCACGCCGUAAACGGUGGGCGCUAGUUGUGCGAACCUUCCACGGUUUGUGCGACGCAGCUACGCAUAAGCGCCCGCCCGUCGGGAGGUACGAGCGCGAAGAAUUAAACUUAAAUUAGAAGUUAGACGGCGUGAGACGUGCCGAACGGACGACGACGAGGGAGGUAGG